rfam:Tenacibaculum mesophilum strain DSM 13764 genome assembly, contig: Ga0131220_105
UCAUAGUUGAAAGUUGCGUUAGGGAUAGAAGCGACAUCCUUUUUACGUCAGUUCGAGUGUCCUGAGCGAAGUCGAAGGAUCUAUCGAGAACAAGUAAAAAGAUAUAGCGAAUAGCCCGUUAAAAC